UACAGAGGGUGCGAGCGUCAAUCGGAAUUACUGGGCGUAAAGCGCGCGUAGGCGGCUUUUCAAGUCGAUUGUGAAAUCCCCGGGCUUAACCUGGGAACUGCAGUCGAGACUGUCUAGCUAGAGUAUGGGAGAGGGAAGUGGAAUUUCAGGUGUAGCGGUGAAAUGCGUAGAUAUCUGAAGGAACAUCAGUGGCGAAAGCGACUUCCUGGACCAAUACUGACGCUCAUGUGCGAAAGCGUGGGGAGCAAACAGG
rnacentral:rRNA from 1 species